AUUGAACGCUGGCGGCAGGCCUAACACAUGCAAGUCGAGCGGUAACAUUUCUAGCUUGCUAGAAGAUGACGAGCGGCAGACGGGUGAGUAACGCGUGGGAACCUUCCCAGUGGUACGGAAUAGCCCAGGGAAACUUGGGGUAAUACCGUAUAAGCCCUUCGGGGGAAAGAUUUAUCGCCAUUGGAUGGGCCCGCGUCGGAUUAGCUUGUUGGUGAGGUAAAAGCUCACCAAGGCGACGAUCCGUAGCUGGUCUGAGAGGAUGAUCAGCCACACUGGGACUGAGACACGGCCCAGACUCCCACGGGAGGCAGCAGUGGGGAAUAUUGGACAAUGGGCGCAAGCCUGAUCCAGCCAUGCCGCGUGAGUGACGAAGGCCUUAGGGUUGUAAAGCUCUUUUGGCGGGGACGAUAAUGACGGUACCCGCAGAAUAAGCUCCGGCUAACUUCGUG
rnacentral:rRNA from 1 species